rnacentral:rRNA from 1 species
CAAUAGCGUAUAUUAAAGUUGUUGCGGUUAAAAAGCUCGUAGUUGGAUUUCAACGAAUGAAUGGGUUCACUUGUGACACCCUGAAGUUUGUUAUUUUGAAUUAUGGCACUAUUUGAUCGAUUUCAAUUAGUGUUUUUCAAAACUGUUACUUUGAGGAAAUUAGAGUGUUUAAAGCAGAUUGUUGUCAUGUAUAUAUUAGCAUGGAAUAACAUAAAGGAUUUUAACAAACAUUUGUUGGUUUACUUGUUAAAAUAAUGAUAAAUAGGGACAGUCGGGGCAUUUGUAUUUAACAGUCAGAGGUGGAAUUCUUGGAUUUGUUAAGGACAAACUACUGCGAAAGCAUUUGUCAAGGAUGUUUUCAUUGA